AAAGUUGGAAAUUAACUGUGGUAAGUAAGGGCAUUUUAUAGAUCUUUAAUUGGAGGAUUAAAAUGAAACCAAUGCAUCAUAAAGUGGGUGGUCAGAUUAUUUAAAAAAGCAUUUCAGAGACAGUCAGAAGUGAACCUGAAGUUGAGAGUUUCAUGUGUUUAUAUGCUAUUCAUGCCAGAUGUGUAAUGAUAACUAUACUACAUAACAUACUAGAAAAUAAUGUCAGUAACAUUAACUUAAAAUAUAGUAUAUAUUCAGAUAUUUGUUGAAUAACUCAGUGAACUAUUUUUAAGACUCAAGAAAUUUUUUCUCCCCAACAGGUUACCACUAAUGUCACCUGGGGCAUUCAGCCAGCACCCAUGCCUGUACCUGUGUGGGUGAUCAUUUUAGCAGUUCUAGCAGGAUUGUUGUUACUGGCUGUUUUAGUUUUCGUAAUGUACAGGAUGGGCUUUUUUAAGCGUGUACGGCCACCUCAAGAAGAACAAGAAAGGGAACAGCUUCAGCCUCAUGAAAAUGGUGAAGGAAACUCAGAAACUUAACUGUAAUUUUUAAGUCACGCUACAUCCUGAUCCAUUAGAAGUUCCAACUUCAGUUUAGAUUUUAAUUUCCUUCCUGGGGAAUAAAAUUCCAAGACUGUACUGCUGAUGGUGCCCAUUGGUAUUAACCACAAAGUGAGAACAAUAUUUAUCAUCCUUUUCAUUAUAAUUAAUUUCAGACAUACAUUUAAUACACCUACUGACUUGUGUUUUUAGGUAUUUAAAUAACAUUUCAAGUGAUAGGUCUUCUUCAAUGUACAUAAGAUAGCACCUGAAUUACCACUUUAUCUAAAAUAGUACCUCCUACAAUUACUGUUUCUGAUUUUGUAUGUUGGAUUUUGUUUGUCGUCGUUUUUGUUGUUUUAAAGCAAUCCAAAUUUGGACCUUAGGAUCCACAUCUUUUGUGCAGAUACAUAAUAUUAAUACACGUUACACUACACUUGAGUUUUCAAGCUAACUUCAUAGCUGUAUAAACUUGGAUUUUAAUAUUACCUAUAUGGUAGGACUUUAAAAAAAAAAGAAGAAAAGCAUGAUCCCAUCAAAACUCUUUCUUGUAACUGCAAAGGUACAGAUUUUUGUUUUAAUGUGAAAAUUGAGUACAUGCUAUUAAACUUUUAUUUAUAUUUUUAUCCACAGUCCAUUUGAUGACAUUUUAUUUUGUAUACGUUUAAAUUCUAUUUCAAAUUCUUUAAGUCACCUUAUACUAAAAGAUUAGUUUUUCCUGGUAACUCAGCAGUAAAGAAUCUACCUGCAAUGCAGGAGAUGCGGGUUCCAUCCCUGAGUCAAGAAGACUACCUGGAUAAGGGCAUGGCAACCCACUCCAGUAUUGGAGUUCUCUUGCCUGGAAAAUUCCAUGGAUAGAGGAGCCUGGCAGGCUUUGGUCCAUGGUGUUGCAAAGAGUUGGACUUGACUGAGCAACUAAUACACACAUAAGUUAUAUUUCAAAUCCUUUAAGUCAACUUAUACUAAAAACUAGUUUUAUAGUCAGAAUUGCCUCUUUUGUUUAAUUGUUUAAUUUCUGCUAAACAUCAUGAUGCUUGAAGCUAUAUGGAAUUGGAAAUCGUUUCCAAAGUGUAUUCUAUUGCAUUAGUCUGGCUAUAGACAAUACCAAAAAAAAAAAAAAAACCAUUUAAAUUAAAAGGUAGUUCUUUGACAGAGUUGCUUAUUGAUAGUUUGUUCUUAGAUUAGAGCAAGAGUUUUUAGUUGGGAUUAAUUUAUUUUUCUCCUAUAUAUGUAUUUUUCCUUAUAUUUUCAAAAUUGUUAUUGAGAAUGUGUCAAGAUCAAUGAGAAAACUUUACAGUUUAUAAGAAUGUGCACUCAAUCUUUGAAUCCCACGAGAAAUGCAUGGAAUUGAAAUUCUUAAGGUAGCUCACUGGUUUACUUCUAGCAAUAGCAUGAUGCUACUCGCAUGGAUAUUACCUCAGUUGAAACCAGGUAUAAAAUGUAAAACCAGUCUCAGCUAUCAUCAUAACUUCUUAGAGGUUAUUUUAUAGGCAAUUCAAGUUAUUGGAAACCUUUUAAAAUUUUCUUAGUCUUAUUAAUAUAAACUACUUUUCUAGGAUUUUCAAGUAAAAGAUGUACAGGUGGGCAAGUUGUAGUUUUUUAAGUCUGUAGGGUGAUGAAUCUUCUAGAAGAUUAUGUGAAUUAUUCACAGUUCCUCUAGGCCUGGGGAUAACUGUUAAUUAUACCUAUUUUUGUGUAAUUACAUCAUGUUGUGCAUUAGAAAUUGAGAGUUCAAUAGCUUUUUAACUACUGCCUUCAUUAGGCGAUGAUAAAUAUUUCCCUUAGAUAAUUGAAUAUUUUUCCAUGUUUUAAAAAUAAUUGAAAUUUUCUUGCCAUGGCUUGUGUUAUAACUCCUUACACAAGUGGCUAAACUAGAAUACAUUCAUAAAAUAGAGGCAUAUGUAGGUGAGUUGUACAAGUUAGAACAUUGACAAGACCCUAUAUUUAGCUUUAGUGAUUUUCAAAGUUAAUUGGUUUUGUAAUAUAGACUUUACUAGUAGCUUAAAAGAUUGUAGGUAGUCAUAUACAAUAAGUAUUUUUGUUACCAAUAAAUUUAAAGUUUUUUAAGUAAAAACUUUUUUAUCAUAGGGCCUGCCACCAGACAGUUGCUAAGUUGGUCUAGAACAGCGUUUACCUCACCUGUUUUCCCAUCUAAUACCACUCAUUCCUGAAAAUAUCUGUUAGAUAGAAAGUCACUCUUUCAAAAAGUUAAAUGUUACUAUUUGCUUUUGCACAAUCUGUUCCUUUUGUGGCCUCUUCUCUCAAGAUAUAAUCUUUUAUGAGAGAUUGAAGAAGGAGCCAAGAUUGCGCAGUUGGGAGAGCAUUAGACUGGAGGAGACUGAAGGGUCUUGUCAUGAAAAUUAACAUGUUGUUUUAAAUUGCUCUUAUGAACUGUAGUUUAAAGCAAUAGUAUUUUCUUUUAAAAAAAAAGAAAGAAAAUUUUAUCUCUACAACAUAUGGUAGUCUAGUCUUCGAAGACUAACAACCUAGUCUUUGAAGAAAAUAUUUGGCAAAAUGUCGGGAUUAAAGUAACGUGAAUGUUUUGGUUAAAAUGUCAAAAAAUAAUCACUGCUGUAUUUGUGCUUUAUUGAGAACUGAAAGCUGUUUUGACUGUAAAAUUCCUAUAAUCUGAUUCAGUUUAAGAAAUCACAUAUCGUUGGAGUUGGGGAUAUCAUAAAACAUUUGAUACUGGUGAGAAAUUGAUUAUGCUGUUGAUUUCUUAUGUAGGCAUUUAUUUCAGACUUAAUAUUUUGAGAAACAUUUGUGUGAGGGAUGCUCUUUCCUUUUCUUCCCUUUAGCUUUCUGUUGUAAUUAGUGAUUAUUGUAAUUCUGAUUAAGUUCUUAAUACUGAGUUGUAAAACAGUUAAUCAAAAUAUUAGUGCCACAGUUCUGUUUUGAAACUAAUUAUUCAUAGUAAAUUCUCAUUAAUACUUUAUAUAAAGAGUAAAUUCAAGUGUUAGAGGCUAUACUGACUUCUUUAAUAGGAUGUGAAAGAUUUCUGAUAGUGAAUCAUAACCCUAAGAGAGAUUUAUGUGGGAAAAGUAUAGUGUAUAAUCAGCGGGGUUUUUAUAAGGCAUACAGUCUGUAAAUUGAUAGAUGUUCCUGUGUUACAGAAUGUAGUGUUCAGCUUGCAAAGAAUAAGCCAUUCUUGGAAUAUUUGUGUACAACUGUUGCUUAUCUCAGUAUCACUGUGUUAGUGCUCUUGGAUAGCUUAUAUAUGUGAUAGUUUGAUUAAUAACAAAAAUACAAAAUUU